rnacentral:rRNA from 1 species
UACGUAGGGGGCUAGCGUUGUCCGGAAUUAUUGGGCGUAAAGAGCUCGUAGGCGGUUUGUCGCGUCGACUGUGAAAACCCGAGGCUUAACCUCGGGCCUGCAGUCGAUACGGGCAGACUAGAGUUCGGUAGGGGAGACUGGAAUUCCUGGUGUAGCGGUGAAAUGCGCAGAUAUCAGGAGGAACACCGGUGGCGAAGGCGGGUCUCUGGGCCGUAACUGACGCUGAGGAGCGAAAGCGUGGGGAGCGAACAGG